AUUGAACGCUGGCGGCAGGCCUAACACAUGCAAGUCGAACGAGUGGCGGACGUGUGAGUAAUGUCUGGGAAACUGCCUGAUGGAGGGGGAUAACUACUGGAAACGGUAGCUAAUCCCGCAUACCAUCAGAGGUGCCCAGAUGGGAUUAGCUUGUUGGUGGGGUAACGGCUCACCAAGGCGACGAUCCCUAGCUGGUCUGAGAGGAUGACCCGUCACACUGGAACUGAGACACGGUCCAGACUCCUACGGGAGGCAGCAGGGUGGAAUAUGGGACAAUGGGGGCGACCCUGAUCCAGCAAUGCCGCGUGAGUGAUGAAGGCCGUAGGGUUGUAAAGCUCUUUUACCAGAGAUGCAGUAUCUGGGGAAUAAGCCCCGGCUAACUCCGUGCCAGCAGCCGCGGUAAUAC
rnacentral:rRNA from 1 species